rnacentral:rRNA from 1 species
UACGCAGGUGGCUAGCGUUGUUCGGAAUCACUGGGCGUAAAGCGCACGUAGGCGGAUUUGUUAGUCAGGGGUGAAAUCCCGGGGCUCAACCUCGGAACUGCAUUUGAUACUGCAGAUCUCGAGUCCGGAAGAGGUGAGUGGAAUUCCUAGUGUAGAGGUGAAAUUCGUAGAUAUUAGGAAGAACACCAGUGGCGAAGGCGGCUCACUGGUCCGGUACUGACGCUGAGGUGCGAAAGCGUGGGGAGCAAACAGG